GAAGAGAAGAUUGUAUUGGCUGA
rnacentral:siRNA from 1 species